GUUGAUCUUCUCCCGAUAUAAAGAAAAAUUGGGUUGUCCAUAUUGCUGUUUAGAGGUUUUGAAUUCUUGCUUCUCGCCGGAAAUUUUUCCGGCAACUCCUGCUCUUUUCUUUCUAUUCUCUCCUCUGCUUUUGUGGGUGUCUAUUCUCUCCUCUGCUUUUUUGUUGGUGUAUGUGGGUGUGUUCUGUUCUCUUGGACAGGUGACUAUUUUACCGGCAAGCCACAGUACUCCCGGUGACUCCCGUCCAGACUCGCGGCAGGACGCAAUAGAACUACACGAAGCUUCAGGAAAACUUGGGCGCAUCAAAGCAUACUUCGCCGUUCGCUUCUCUUUCGUUCUUUCCACAGGAGGUUGUUUCCUUGGUGUAUCGAACAACAGUUUUUCAAAAGAUUUUGUUUACCAGAUCGCUAAAGUUCGUCUUCUCUGCCGCUAAUUAAGCUGCUCAUAAUCACUCUGCCGCUAACGGAAUUUGGUAACUUUAUUCUGUUGCGUGCUUUUUCUUUAUAAUCCAUUUCUAUGUGUCCUAGUUAAAAUCAUAAUCAGAUGUUCAUGUAAAAUUGAACAAUCUCUUAACCUUAAAAACAAAGAUUCAUUCUACUAGUUUACUACUAGUUAAUUUUGCAUUCUUUAUUUGUCUGAUUUGUGAUUAAACCCCAACCCACUAUCUGCAGUUUCCCAAAUACCCUAAUUUUCAUCGAUCCAUUCAAUCGCUCAGUGAUAGCAACCGUAAGAGUAAAGUUGCUGCUGCUUCAUCUAUACUUAAUUCGGCUAUAGCCGUUUUGAAAAUCAAAUUUCGAUUUUAGGGUUUCAGAUCUCCUCUAUUUUCUGUAAAUCUGUUCAAUUCCGAGUUCUUUUUGUAAAAUUAAUCGUUAUUAUAUCUUAAUUUUGUUUUGUUUCUCCCUUGAUUUCUCUUGUUUUUUGAAAGAAAAAUUGGGUUGUCCCUAUUUCUGUUUAGAGGUUUUGAAUUCUUGCUUCUCGUCGGAAAUUUUUCCGGCAACUCCUGCUCUUUUCUUUCUAUUCUCUCCUCUGCUUUUUUGUUGGUGUGUGUGGGUGUGUUCUGUUUUCUUGGACAGGUGACUAUUAUACCGGCGAGGAUUUCCGGCAAGCCACAGUACUCCCGGUGACUCCCGUCCAGACUCGCGGCAGGACGCAAUAGAACUACAUGAAGUUUAAGGAAAACUUGGGCGCAUCAAAGCAUACUUUCAGGCUUUUCCACCGGGAGUUGGUACCUCCCGCUCUCUUGUUUACUUUGUGCACCUUUUUACGUAUUUUAGCUAGCAUUUCGA
rnacentral:lncRNA from 1 species